UUUAAAUUUCCCUCCAGUGAAUAAUGGAGUUACUUCCCCUUUUGUUUACGUUUUUGUUUUGAAAAUAUUAGUUGAAUACAUUGACAAACAAAUGCAAAUAUAUAAUUUUUAUUCAUGGAAAAAUGAACAAUAAAAUAUAGAACAUAAACAAUAUCUUACCUUUAUUUCUUAUCGAAGUGAAAGUACAUCGAAUUAACUGCGAGGCUGUGAAACAGGUACAUGUAUAUGUGACGUCACGCAAUGGUUUCGGCGAUGAACGAAAAGGUAUUGAAAAUGAUGAUUUUGUGUUAGUUAAAAGGAAGACAGUUUACAUUCAGUGUGGCCAAAAUCUCUUCUAUGCUAAUUAUACUUCUCGUAAUUAUACCGAAUGUGUCAUCACGGCCAACAGGAUCACCAGCUAAAGCCGACAACAUAAAAUUAAGAAAACGCCCCACGGUAGCUGAUGUCAGACACAGUAUUCGAGAAUUAGAACAAAUAGAACGCUACUAUCAGCAACUGCUUAUUAGAGGAUAUCUUCCAGAAAGCGAUGCAAGAAGAUUAGAACUCCUGAAUGAAUUCAUCGAGCAGCUGAGGACUCGGUUACAAUCCCUCGUCAAUGCAGAGCCACAUAGUUAAUAAUAGACGCCAUGCUGAGGACUCGGAUACAAUCCCUGGUUAAUACAGAGCCGCAUAGUAAUUUACAGACGCCAUACUGAGGACUCGGUUACAAUCCCUGGUUAAUACAGAGUCGCAUAGUUAUUAAUAGACGCCAUACUGAGGACUCGGUUACAAUCCCUGGUUAAUACAGAGCUGCAUAGUUAAUAAUAGACGCCAUGCUGAGGACUCGGAUACAAUCCCUGGUUAAUACAGAGCCGCAUAGUAAUUUACAGACGCCAUACUGAGGACUCGGUUACAAUCCCUGGUUAAUACAGAGCCGCAUAGUUAUUAAUAGACGCCAUACUGAGGACCCGGUUACAAUCCAACCCCUGGUCAAUACAGAGUCACAUAGUUAAUGAUAAACGCCAUACUUCUCUUGGAAGCCCUGCUAACUCUAUGUUUUGAUGAAACUAUUUUUGCUAGGCAAUAUAUUAACCAUUGUGCAUGUAAUUUAAGAUAGACAUCCGAUUGUACUAGUCAAUAAAUAUUAAAACAAAGACAACAAGGACUUCCUCAAUAAAGUGGGAUGUUUGGAAACAUCCAUGGUAUAUUUCAAUUUGAAGACAACAUUCUACAAAAACCAAAUUCUUACAAGGCCUUUUCCUCAAAACACUUUUUAUGCAACAAAUUUUUAAAAGGUGUCAUUUUUACUUAAUCGAAAGUGUGAAAGAGACGCUUUUAGAUACCUAAAUUGAACUAAAGUCAUAGUUUUCAAAGUGGAGUUUAACGCUUUGUGAAAUUAUAAUCACUAAAUCGCCAACUGUUUGUAUAUUAUCCGUGUAUCUAUAAAACUUUUUUCUCUCUAAAUUUGAGCAUCGGUUAAGCAUUUCAUUGCCUUUAAGUGGACUUUAUCUGUUUUUUUUUUCGAAAUAGGACCUGGGGCCGUAUUCAUAAAGCAUCUUAAGUAUAAGUAUAAGAAAUUGGUUAUUUACUUAAGUAUUUCUUAGGUUAGAAAUUUAUUUUAUUAAGUAUAUUUGUUAUUCAUAAAACAACUUAAUAAGUAAUUCUUGUUUUUUAUUGUGGACGAAAACAUUAAAAAAACAACAUUAAUUUCAGACAGAUACAACAUGCACAAUUAUGUUUAAAGUGCUUUUAUCUGAAAACAACACUUUAAUCGUACUCACCACGCUAUUUUAUUUUCUGACUUAAGUCAUUUCUUACGUAUCUUAAGUUUUAGCUGUUUUAUGACUAGAACUUAAGUUUUUACUUAGACUUAAGUUGAAAACACCACAAACUUAAGUAAAAUCUUAAACUUAAGUCAAAACUUAUACUUAAGAUGCUUUAUGAAUACGGCCCCAGUUCUUUUUCUGACAUUUAAAAUAACAUUUUCAUUAAUGUCUCUUAUUGAAUUUAUUUAACGAGUUGGGUAAAAUAAAAAAAGAUGAGCAUUUUAUCAAUUUUAUUGAAAGAGUUAAAUAAAUUCAAUGUGGAAAUAAAAUAUGUAAGAAGAUCCUUUGGAAGCAUAGAAUGCAACCAAGCAAAAUAAAAGCAGACUCGGUUUGAAGGCGGUGCCCCACUGUGUUCCUUUGUUUGUUCGUUUCGUCUUAUGUGUUGGCUUUGUGUGCGUGUGUGUUGUUCGUUUUGUCCUUAUGUGUUGGCUUUGUGUGUGUGUGUGUGUGUGUGUGUGUGUGUGUGUGGUGCACGCGUCUGCGUGCUGGGGGUUUCGUUUUGAGGAGGCUGCGUUUUUGUGCGUGGCAUUCCCUGUUUGAUAUUUUUCUUUGUUUUUUUGACUGUCUGUUCAUGAGAGGUAAUGGAAUUACUUAGUUAAUUAGAGGUAAUUGGUAAGUGCAACUAGCACCGGCUUAAGCGGAACUCUGUUACACAUGUAUUAAACGGACUCCAUGAUCCCAAUGGACCAGAAAAUAUAACAACACUGAAAGACAC